rnacentral:rRNA from 1 species
GACGAACGCUGGCGGCGUGACUAACACAUGCAAGUCGAACGGAGAUAUCCUUCGGGGUAUCUUAGUGGCGAACGGGUGAGUAACGCGUGGGUAACCUGCCCUUUUAUCGGGGAUAACUUACCGAAAGGUGAGCUAAUACCGGAUGUCCUAUUUUGAUCACCUGAUUAAGAUAGCAAAGGUGGACUCUUUAAAUGCUACCGUAAAAGGAUGGACCCGCGUCUGAUUAGCUAGUUGGUGAGGUAACGGCUCACCAAGGCGACGAUCAGUAGCCGGCCUGAGGGGGUGAACGGCCACGCUGGGACUGAGACACGGCCCAAACUCCUACGGGAGGCAGCAGUGGGGAAUCUUCCGCAAUGGACGAAGGUCUGACGGAGCAACGCCGCGUGAGUGAUUAAGGUCUUCGGAUUGUAAAACUCUGUUUUUUGGGACGAACGGCUCAUAUGUGAUCAAUGUAUGAGAUUGACGGUACCAAAGGAGGAAGCCCCGGCUAACUACGUGCCAGCCGCCGCGGUAA